CCUACUUUCCUCUGGAAAUGGCCGCGCCGGGGAGCACCGAACGCCCCGCGCCCCGAGGCCCGUCGGCGUAGGGCGGCCGCGGGGCUGUGGCCCCCCAGGAACGCCGGAGGCAGGAUGGACGAACAGAAGGUGCCUAGCGAGGAGAAGGACACAGCCGCGCCAGCUGAUGGGGUCAUGGCCUCGGAGGAGAUGGGCAGCGCCGAGGGGGACCCCCUGAAACCCCCCGAAGGAGCCUCUGCGGGGCCAGAGCCAGACAAC